GACUUAGCUUUGGGGACAUCUGAUAAAAUUAGAACGAUAUAAAGAAGAUUAGAAUGGCCCUUCUGUAAGGAAGACAGGCACAAAUCGAGAAAAGGUCCAAUUUUUU